rnacentral:rRNA from 2 species
UACGUAGGGAGCAAGCGUUGUUCGGAUUUACUGGGCGUAAAGGGCGCGUAGGCGGCAAUUCAAGUCACUUGUGAAAUCUCCGGGCUUAACUCGGAACGGUCAAGUGAUACUGCUUUGCUAGAGUGCGGAAGGGGCAAUCGGAAUUCUCGGUGUAGCGGUGAAAUGCGUAGAUAUCGAGAGGAACACCUGAGGUGAAGACGGGUUGCUGGGCCGACACUGACGCUGACAGCGCGAAAGCCAGGGGAGCAAACGGG